AUACCCUGGGCGAGUUCCUGGUUUCUGAGGUGGGAGAGCCAUCACUGGAGAGGUGGCAUUGGCGCCAGUACUCAGGCCAGAAGCCCCUUGUGCCCUGCUCUCAGGGGUUUCCUCCCAUAUUGGAUCACGAUGAAAACUGCACAGAAAGUCCGUGCUCAGUUUCUUCCAUGGUUACAGAACACAGGCCCCAGACCAGGAAGGCAUUCUGCUAAAGAAGGGGACCCGAAACCUCAGCUACCAGCGCCGAUGGUUCAUCCUCCGAGGAAACCUCCUCUUCUACCUAGAACACUAGACCGACCAUGCACCCCUGAGCCUCAUCCUGUUAGAGAACUGCCAGGUGGAACCACACCUUAAGGCUGCAGAACCCUAUGCCUUUACCAUCCUGACCCCUGGGGUGGAGGGCACAGGUGGGCGGGCCUACAAGCUGGCUGCAGAAACCCAGGAAGAGCUGGAGACUUGGCUGUGGGCACUGGCUGGCGCGAGCUGGAGGCGGCUGGCUGGGCUGCUGUCCCCCCUCCCCCCCCACCAAAACCCAAUACUGGGAGCUGUGCCAGGCAACUGGCCAAGAACCCAUCUCAUCCCCAGAGGACAGUGGCUUUCUAGCCACUGUGAGUACCCCCUCCAGCUUCCAGGAGUUGCAUGAGCACUUUGGGAAGGAGAUCCGGGUGCUGCACGUGGUACAUAGAGAGCUCCAGGCAGCCAGUGACAAUGGAGACAGCAGAUCCCAGGCAAAGAUGGAGCAGGAGCUCAACCAGUGUCUGAUGAGUGACUGAGAGAUGGACCCAAAGCUAAGAGGUACCUACUUGCCAAGACAGCAGACUGCUUCAACAGAGACCCAGGUCCUGGCUCUGUCCCUCCCUCCCUCGUCCUUACCCCAUCCCCCCCUCAUCAAAUAACAAGGCAGAAAACAGGCCCAGGUACAACAGCA
rnacentral:lncRNA from 1 species